rnacentral:lncRNA from 1 species
GGGUGAUCCUGGAGGUCUUUUCCAGCCUUAACGAUUCUCUGAUUCUCUUCGUGACUUAGCUGCUACAGCUUCGUUUGUAACCUUUCUGCUUCUUGCUCCCCGUAUUUGCCAUUCAACAAUUCACAAUAAAGACGUUUUGUCCUUUGUGAUAUGCUUUCUCUUGUGUCUCACAGACAUUUUUCAUCACUAUGAGUGAAAAUUCAAUGAUAUUAUAUUGGAUGGUAUUGGGAAACCUUUGACAUCAGCUAGAAAAGCAGAAUAAUAGAAAUUUAAGUCCUUAUGUGCUGAAUGCUCUUGCUCUUAACACAGGGGCCUAAACCAGGGCUGGAGGGAAUAUGACUGUAUGCCAAUAGAAGAACUACUUGAAGAAUCAGCUUUGCACUUGGCUUUUAAACUCCGGAAGAAAAAAAAAUAGUACAUACAUUCACACUGUGAACUGUAUGCUGCUUGCUUUAUUCCACUGGCCAUUUCCUAAGGCUGUGUCUACUAGGGAUGUGGAGAAGAGAUUAUUUUCUAAGGGACAACCACAA